rnacentral:rRNA from 1 species
GACGAACGCUGGCGGCGUGCUUAACACAUGCAAGUCGAACGGAAAGGCCCUGCUUUUGUGGGGUGCUCGAGUGGCGAACGGGUGAGUAACACGUGAGUAACCUGCCCUUGACUUUGGGAUAACUUCAGGAAACUGGGGCUAAUACCGGAUAGGAGCUCCUGCUGCAUGGUGGGGGUUGGAAAGUUUCGGCGGUUGGGGAUGGACUCGCGGCUUAUCAGCUUGUUGGUGGGGUAGUGGCUUACCAAGGCUUUGACGGGUAGCCGGCCUGAGAGGGUGACCGGCCACAUUGGGACUGAGAUACGGCCCAGACUCCUACGGGCGGCAGCAGUGGGGAAUAUUGCACAAUGGGCGAAAGCCUGAUGCAGCAACGCCGCGUGCGGGAUGACGGCCUUCGGGUUGUAAACCGCUUUCGCCUGUGACGAAGCGUGAGUGACGGUAAUGGGUAAAGAAGCACCGGCUAACUACGUG